AGUGGAACCAGAUAGCAAACAAAGCCGUGAAUCAGAGAAAUAAAACAUGUUUUCGCUGAUUCAUAACUAGAAGUGUAACUGUAGCCAACAUCUUAAUAUCAGUAACGUUAUCAACAUUCAUAUUUAGAUGAAACAAAUUAUAUAUCCAGCUAUAAAAAAGCUUAAAAGUCGGAAGUUAGAACGGAAGAACAAAAAGGCGUUCUUAUGGAGAUGAUCCACCCUCUCGUCUCAUUGGUGUUAACUGGCAGGUUUCAGAACGCUGCAGACCGGCUCG